CUCAUCACAGACGUAAACCCGAGCUCUGCCGCUGCGCUCAUUGUCACGGAUACCCUUGGCGACCUGCGUGGCCUUCAGCUUCUCAAAGCGGUUGCUCUGGGAUCCACACCACUGGUCCAGGAUGAAGCAGUCUCCCUGGUUAAAGCUCUCCCAGUUGACCGGCACCUCCGUCGCCCUGACAACACGCCGACCUUUGACCUGAAACACCCGCUGAACCACCACCUCGUUGGUGACGACGUGUUUGAACCCGGACGCAACGCCUCCUUUCUGAAAGAUAAAGACUUGAAGUAUCCCAGGAAGGUUUUGGAUUCGUGUCCCUGAACCUCCCGGUACUGGAUCGGUUUCCCUCCCAGGAAGUCGUCCAUUUGGACCGUGAAGAUGGCCGCCGAGCCGCUUUCAUCCUGGGUGCAGAAAUCACCUGAGAAGAAGGAACCGCAGAUCAGCUCCAUGUCAGUCCUGGUUUUAUUUCAUCUCACUAAACCAUCCUGUUCUGUGCUGUGAUGUGGUCGAUAUGUGGAGAGAAGCCCGACACACUUCCACACAUCCACAUGAUUCUAUUUCUGGUGGCACACAGAUGUCAGGAUGACAUCAGUUCCUGUUUAUUGGUUUCCAUGAUCAAUUAAACCGACUGACACCAGAUGAGAUCAAUAAAGACUCACAGACCUGAUUCUGCUUUCUAGAGAUUCACCCAGUCAGACACUUUAUUUACCUGCAAGCACUCAUUUCCAGCAUUGAUUCCUCGCUUCGACUUAAAAUACAAAUCAAUUGGAAUUUUAAUUCAUUGAUUAGAUUUCAUUUUACAAACACAUUUUCUACUUUACAUAACACCUCUAUCUUGACUUGUUAGGCAUCAAAAUACAAAUAAUAUUCUAACUCCGUGUUAUUUUAAUUUAUUAUGUUUAUCUUUGUACUUUUAUUGAUGCAGUGACAUAAUAUUGUGAAAUCUGACAAGCAGUAAUACGUAUAUAAAACGGUGUAUAAAGCAGGUUAAAUUUGCCUUUUAUGUAUAAAUGUUGCUUAUACGUUAUUGUAAGAGGUAACUUAGUGGUGAUAAAAUCUGUAAAACUCUGCAUAAAUACUUAAACUUGUGAUAUUUUACUAUGUUUUACUGAUGGUUGAUGACGGGUCCAUAUCUGUAGACACUACCUUUACGGUUAGCUUGGAAUUUCAUAAUAAUAGUAAUAACUGUAUUUAUAUCGCACCAUUAAAUAAAAAAUGCCCAGGAUGCCACACAACAGAAAGCCAGGCAGUAAGGUAUUUAAAUUUAAACAGACAAGAACAAGGUGAAAUUAAGGUAAAGUAAAAUAAUAAUAAUAAUAACAUAUAUGUGUGUAUGUGUGUGUGUGUGUAUGUGUGUAUGUGUGUGUGUGUGUGUGUGUGUGUGUGUGUGUGUGUGUGUGUGUGUGUGUGUGUGUGUGAGUGAGUGAAACACAACAAAUGAGUAUGAAUUAAUAUAAAUAAGAUGAACAGUUUCUUUAAUACGUAGAAAUUUGUAAUGUACUAUAUUUAAUUUUAUGUGUAAUAUUCCAUUAGCAUGUGUGAUUUUAGUUUUUACUUGAGUACAAAUGCCAGUGUUACUUUUUAUUCCUCUGUUCUAGCCUUUUGUUUGUUAACAUGUUUUCUUUCAGUCAUGCAUCGUACUUCUGUCUUUGUGGUUUUCUCUUUUUUAGACGCUGCAUUUCUUAUGUUGUGUAAUUUUGUGUUUUUCUGAGCAAUAUCUGUCUAGAAAACAUCCUUAUCUCAUCUUAUUUUAAACUCAGAUGUUGCACAGAUUCUGCUGAAUGUGAAAAGGAAGCGCAAAGAAUUAUUCUGUAUUUAGGAAAAUAGUAAGUUUAUCUUCCGUGAGUGGCAAAUACAUUCUUGUAUAGAAAAAAAGGAUUAAUAUGGUGCCAACACUUCUUAAACGGGCAUUUUAAACAACCUUGAAUUCCAAAUAAACAAGUAAAAACCAUAAAAUACAGCAUUGCACCAAAGAAAGUAUAAAAAUCAAAAGUCAUGAGCUGUUUCUUCUCAUUAAAAUCAUUUCUCGACUCAGGAUCACCUUUAAAUUUAAACUUCUGCUUCAAAACAGCCAGAAGCCAUUUGAAGAUCUACAGCUGAGAGCUGGUUCUCUAUAGGCUCAACAUUUCUGCUGUGUAGCUUUAAAAUAUUAAAAUAAAUUCUAAAAUGAACAGGAAGUCAGUGGAGAGAAGCCAGAACUGGAGAAUGUUUUAUUAUUUGCUAAAACUAGUAAAAAAUCCGAGCUGCUGAACUAGUUAGAAAUUAGAGAAUGACUUUAGAUUGAUGCCAGAAAGUUAACAGUUAAAUACAGAACUUUAACAUAAAACUGAAUAUUUUUUACAAUAUAUUGCUGCUUUUACUGAACUAAACAUUUCAUUCAAACAUUUUGAGCAUGGAGCUGUACGUGCUAAAAUUUGUUGUUGAACAUUCUAGAAAAAACCUCCUUAAGGGGUUUUAUAAGAUUUAAGAAAGAUGUCUUCAGAAGUGGCAAAGUUUUCCAGAUUAUCAAAGAAUCGUCUGUUAAAACUGUUCUCCAACAAGCCGUUUGGCUUGUAGGACUGAGAUUCAGCUUUACUGGCCAAGUCUGAACAUGCAAACAAAGGAUUUGACUCUUAGUUCUCUGUGUACAGUGAUCACAAAGAGUAACUAAGCACUAAAAGAAGCUAAACGUUGAGGAGUAAAGAUUUAAAUUAGAACGGAGUCCUCACCUCCUGACUCACUGUCAAUAUCUGCAGUAAAUAUUGCAACGCAGUGAAACCGUCCAGUGGAAUCACUCUGUAAAGACGCUCAUCCACUCUGGAAAACUGACAUCAUCUCUGCUGCCACAUGUCCACGGAAACAAAAAAAUUCCAGCAAACAAAUCCAGAAACGUUUACCUCUUGUUUCUUUUAAACUUAUUUGAAUGUAAAGUCAGAUUAUUACUGAGAUGUUGUCAGUUUAAGCUGUUUUUAAAGUGUUUUCAUACAGAAAAGAAGCGCUGCAUGAAUUAAUUUAAUUCAGUGUUUAUUUUAACACAGAAGUUGAUUUUAUGUUUAAAUAAUAAUCAUUAGAAGUAACAAUCCUGUAAAUUCCCCUUCAGUCUAAAAUACUUCAUGGAAAUAGUCAUAUUUCCCCUUUAUCACUUCAUAUAUUCUAAUAACACUAAGCAGUGAUGGAAAGUAACUACAUACAUUUACUCAAGUGUUAUGCUUCAAAACUUGUACUUUAUAUUUUUAUGCUGCUUUAGUACUUCCACUGAUUAGUCAAGCACAGGGGUCGGCAACCUGUGGCUCCGGAGCCACAUGCGGCUCUUUCAGCCCUCUGUUGUAGCUCCCUGUAACUUCGGAAAAUAAAUUGUUCUGCCUUUCAGGCGCGUUUUAAUGCAUUUUAAUAUAGAGUUUUAUUGUGAAAUUACCGCUCUUAUUUUGUCAUGUCACUCCACCAGAUGUGCUGCUGGGGUUUUCCCAUAGACUGUAUAUAAAGAUGGACGUAGCAUCUGGCUCCAGAAUCGAAGCCCACCUGGAAGUGUCAAAAACUUGCAAUAUCACGCCGUCCGCUAGGGUUGGCUCCAAAAAGCUUUUUCUCCAUAGACCCCAAUUCAUUUUUGGAAGAAAUAAAAUUUGAUAGACUGAUUUUCUACAGCUCAUGAUUUUUUUCCCGUUAGUUUUCAUGGUCAAAAUGAGAGAUCAGGUGGCCGAUCUUAAAAUAAAUCAAUACUGAAUUUUAAAUAAAUCGUUAAAGUUGGCGGAGCCAGGGGGCGUGGCUAUACUUGAUAGACAGUCCCAUUGACUGGUCCUGCCCCGAGUUGCUCUCCUGUCCAGCCUGUCUGAUGACGCUUUUUACGUCACUGGCUCCAAAAAAUCCAAAAUGGCGACCAGGAAGUAGCAAAAUCCGGGCUUCAUUUUUUUGGCGUUGAAGCCAACGGGUGACGUGACAGUUAGUUCACGCCUGGGUUUUCCCCUGGGACACGAGAGCGCAAAGUUGAUGCAGAGAGACAACACGGAGCUUCCGAUUCCCACACGUUUCAUGCCUUAAAGCUCCACUCCAAGAAAGACACGUCUUGUCUUUAAGUCAAAGUACUCAUGAGUACUGAGGUAAACUACGGAUAAUUGUCUUGCUCAGUAUCUACUCUUUGAUAUGUCAGGGUAAUACACGUUACUCGCAAGAGCACGGCUCGAUGUCACUUCCAGCAUCCAGGCAGCAGGUCGGAGAGUCAGAGGAGUGUCGUCUUGGAAAAUAGGGCAGCGACUUACCGGAGAAAAGUUAUUAGCUUAAGAUAAAUAGAUAAAUAGAUUUUACAAGAUAAACAGGCAUUCGCAAAAUAUUGAUUUCCAGCUAACAUUAUGUAACAUAUGAGGUCCAGGAGCAAAAAUGACAUUAACCAAGUAAGAUAAAUAUUAGUGGUAGGACACAAUUAAAAAAAUGAAUCUAUCUAAUUAGAGGCUUUGUAAUUAAUUAAUCAUGACUGAUUAACAAGGGCAUAGAGGUAAAAAAAAAAGUGAUAUAUGCAGUGUUGUCUUCAUUUUAAAUGCCAAAAGGAUUCUGCGGCUCCCGGUGUUUUCUUUUCUGUGGGAAACGGGUCGAAAUGGCUCUUUGAGUGUUAAAGGUUGCAGACCCCUGGUCUAGCAGCUUUAGUUGCUUUUAAGAAGCCGAUUUUCCACAAAUAAUAUAACAAGCUAUUAAAAUGCAAAAUAUUAGAAAAGAAUAAACACUUUUCAACAUUUUUGGCUUCUUACAAAUAAAAAGUAGUGUGCAGUGUGAUGUCCACUAGUUAUGGCUCCACCAAAUAGUGAUUUUUCCCAUUAAACUUCUCACAAAUUCAAUAAAUGAUACAAUAUCUCACCAAAAAUCACAAAUUUUGUGUCAGAUUUUUCUUCUUUCCUCCCAUUAAUCAUCUAAGAAACUGUCAGUUUUACCUGCUGGCCCUGAAUAAAAGUAUAUGAAACUAUAAAGUACUUUAAACCUGCAGCAGCUUCAACAGGAACAAGCUGCUGACCCACUGUAUUACUCUAUUAUUAAUCUAUCGUGUCCUAUAUAGCAAUAUAUCAGUCAACCAGUACUUCUGUUUUAUUACUUUAACUACAUUUGCUGCUCAUACUUAUGUACUUUUGUUUGAGAUUUUUAAUUGUUCUUAAAAGGAUACUUCAACAAAGGUUUCAGUAGCUAAUCGAAAGAAACGAUGCACUUGUUAUACUGUCGACAAGCAAUUAUCAAAACAUUUAAUUUGAAAGGUAUUUUAUAUAUCAAGCUAAAAUUUCACAGAUGUCUUUACGAAUGUCCACAUUUUGUGCUAUUAAAUUUCAGGCAAAUCAGAGGUUGCUGGGCAGAAACUGUCCUAAAAACAAGUUCUAUUACAUUUGUUUUUCUACUUUGCAAUGCAUUUUUCCCAUUUAAUUUGUACUUUUAAUUUCCUUAACUUUAUUUAAAGUCUUUAUUAUUGCAUUUAGUUCAAAUUAUACAUUGCAGAUGUCCAUUUAAGGUGUUGUCUUGUACAGAAGUCUGCAAAAUUGUGCUUUUUGCAGGGGACUGUGACUGUUUUUCCUGUUUUAUCUCAUAUAAUUACAACAGGAAGUGCUUUUAUUUUCAGCAAUGUUUAACAGUAUAUCAGUGAAAUAUCUUUUUUUUUUUUACCUUUAAUAGUUUCUGACAUAUUAAUGUUCAAAUCAUAUCAAAUUUCAAUAUGCACAAAAAAAACAUGCUGAAAAUGGAGCAAUUUGAGGAAAAAAAUAAUCUUGAAAAGUAUUUGAUAUGUUCAGCUGAAAUAUCACAAAUUGUUUUAUAAAUAUGCUGUAUUUAUUUAAAGUCUUUAGUAUUGUAUUUAGUUAAAAUUGUACUUUGCAGACAUCUAUUUAAGGUCUUCUGCUGUAGAAAGUCUAUGAACUUGUGCUUUAAGAAUGAAUUCAUGUUCUUAA